rfam:Rattus norvegicus chromosome 5, whole genome shotgun sequence.
UAGCUCAGUGGUAGAGCGUUUGCCUAGCAAGCACAAGGCCCUGGGUUCGGUCCCCAG